rnacentral:lncRNA from 1 species
CCUAGGUCUGUAAUAUGUAUGGUUAAUGAGUUAUAUCACUUUAGGCAUGAUUUUAAAAAUAAGAUGGGCGAAAACUAUCAUUUAUUGUUUACGCACCCUUCCAACCAAAAUUUAUAAGUUACAACAUGUCGCAACUCACAAUUUAGUAAAAAUAAUUUGUCAAUAUCUUGCACGGUUGUUGAAAAUAAGAGAAAAUAAGCCA